UAGGCACCCUCGGUGAUACUUG
rnacentral:miRNA from 2 species